rnacentral:tRNA from 1 species
UCGGGAUGUGGCGCAGUUGGUAGCGUACACGUAUGGGGUGCGUGUGGUCGCUGGUUCGAGUCCAGUCAUCCCGACUUU